GUCUUGAUUAUCAUAAAUCUAUAUAUUUUAUAAGACUUAUUUUAUAGAGGAUGCCUUUUGCUGGCGCCCUCUCUUGCCGGUGGCUCACAUCCCGCCACUGGAGGAAGCUAAGAGGAAAGGAGACACUUCCUGUUUCUACUUGCUUGAAUGAUUCUCCUUGCUAUGUCACUUCUGCCCUGGAUCACCAUAUCUCUACUACGUUUCCCAGAAACUUCUUUGACUCCUAGUCCUGUCUAACUUUCUGUUUCAUUGGCCAAACCGAACUUUAUUCAACAAUCAAUAACAUAAACAUACACAGAAGUACUUCCACCAUCAAAUCUGGGAAAUGCAAAAUGUUGAAAAACUUUGAAGGCCAAUGUGUUCUUCCGAAGGCAGUCCGAUGCUCUCCCACUAGGCAGGCAGGACACAGAGGCCUGAAGCGCCAUGUGGUUGGACAAGGCCAGCUGAGCCAGAAGGCCACAGGAAGAUUAAGAGAAGCAAGGCCCCCAAGGGCUUGAGGGCUCAGGUUGGACGCCUGGAAGUGAGACUAGCUGUCUUCAUCCUCCUGGUCCUCAUGCUCAUCCUCUGAGAAGUGAGCUUGCUUCUUUGGAACAUUCCGUGCAGACACUGGGCCAGGAUCUCAAUACAGUCCGUCACGGGGUGCAAACAUAGAAAGAGGACAGCUGGUAUCAGGAGGUUGUGAUGCUGAUGCUGUCUCCAUGGCACAUUUCCUGCCUCUUCUGUCCAUCUAAAGACAGCCGUGCAGUGUGACAGCAUAGUCUUCAGCUAGACCACUGCGGGGAUCUCCAUCUGACAGAAUGAGAGCCAGGGGCAGAUGGAUGUGACCCCGAUGGCUUGCACGUUGGUGUGGAUCAUGAAGUCCCAGCUGCUGCAGCUGUAUAUGGUGUGCUGGCCAUGGGGUGGAGAUGACCUCUCCAUUGCCCUGUA
ensembl:lncRNA